GCAGCUCGUACGGACGAUGGGCAGCGGAUGGGCCUCUGUGUUGAAGACCCAGUCCUCAAGAGGGAGGAGGUCGUCAUCGGAGAAGAGCAGGGAGAUGUGGUGAGAAAUAAAGGACCUACUUGAGUGUCUCUGAGAGGAAGAAGCUCUGCUGCAUGUUAUCGUGGCUGUCUGUCGUGGUAUAAACAUCACGGAUCCCAGAGAAGCCAGACUCCACUCUGCAGUGCUGCUCCAAGGCCUGUGAGGAAGAGAGACAAGGAUUUGGGCUAGGCUCCUUAUCUCCAGUGAAGGAUAAUCCCAGCUGAAGCUGAUUCAUGACAUGGUUGAAAGUAUCCCUCAGUUUCCCCAUCAUUGCCAAAUCUACAAGGUGUCAUCGUCAGCCAUCUACCUCUAACCUCACAGUGUGGUCAGCCUCUUUAUGCCAUGAUCCUCAGAUGGCAUCCUCAUCCAACACCAGUAGCACCAGUGUCUGCACUCUACAGGGGAUAGUUCAUCCGCUUGGAGUUCAAGCGCCAAAGAACGUCUGAAAAUAAUUAAAAAUCAUGUCGAUGUACAACAGAUGUUUAUCUUAAAAUCAGUCCUAACUGAAAUGGGUGGAUGGAGAUUAAAUGAUUGCAUCACAUCAAACAAUGCUGUGUGCUAAAGUUGCUAAAGACACAGAUGAUCUUUUAUUCCAAAAAUAUUAAAUGUGAUUUAUUUCACAAGCGUUAGAGCAAUACUCUGAUUUUUCCUACCCCUCUCUAACUUCCAGAGUCAACACCAGUGGGAAAGGAUAAAAUAUUAUUAGAAUAUCUCAGUGAGAAAUUUUAGGAAAAGCAAAUAGAUUUAACCCUUGUUCCGUGGCUGUAAGAAUAACAAAUGUACGUGUUAUAUUUAAGAGUAGAGAAUCAGAAUUACAAUAUGUCAGAUAUUGCACAGCUUAAGUACUUCCCAUCAUGUUUCAGUGCUCCUAUCUCUACUGUUAAUUAAAAAGCCCUUGAUGUGUAAAGGUGUCAUGUACACAUUUCUUGUAAACAAUGUUCUAUGUCCUAUGUUAAGACCACCAACACUUGGAGAAAAGUUCUGGUCCUAACCUUAACUAUUUCUUAAAUAUUAUCAGCACAACUCCAACAUAGCCAGCACAAAAAUAAAGCAUGUCUAUUCUUUA